rnacentral:rRNA from 1 species
GAUGAACGCUGGCGGCGUGCCUAAUACAUGCAAGUCGAGCGAACGGACGAGAAGCUUGCUUCUCUGAUGUUAGCGGCGGACGGGUGAGUAACACGUGGAUAACCUACCUAUAAGACUGGGAUAACUUCGGGAAACCGGAGCUAAUACCGGAUAAUAUUUUGAACCGCAUGGUUCAAAAGUGAAAGACGGUCUUGCUGUCACUUAUAGAUGGAUCCGCGCUGCAUUAGCUAGUUGGUAAGGUAACGGCUUACCAAGGCAACGAUGCAUAGCCGACCUGAGAGGGUGAUCGGCCACACUGGAACUGAGACGCGGUCCAGACUCCUACGGGAGGCAGCAGUAGGGAAUCUUCCGCAAUGGGCGAAAGCCUGACGGAGCAACGCCGCGUGAGUGAUGAAGGUCUUCGGAUCGUAAAACUCUGUUAUUAGGGAAGAACAUAUGUGUAAGUAACUGUGCACAUCUUGACGGUACCUAAUCAGAAAGCCACGGCUAACUACGUGCCAGCAGCCGCGGUAAUACGUAGGUGGCAAGCGUUAUCCGGAAUUAUUGGGCGUAAAGCGCGCGUAGGCGGUUUUUUAAGUCUGAUGUGAAAGCCCACGGCUCAACCGUGGAGGGUCAUUGGAAACUGGAAAACUUGAGUGCAGAAGAGGAAAGUGGAAUUCCAUGUGUAGCGGUGAAAUGCGCAGAGAUAUGGAGGAACACCAGUGGCGAAGGCGACUUUCUGGUCUGUAACUGACGCUGAUGUGCGAAAGCGUGGGGAUCAAACAGGAUUAGAUACCCUGGUAGUCCACGCCGUAAACGAUGAGUGCUAAGUGUUAGGGGGUUUCCGCCCCUUAGUGCUGCAGCUAACGCAUUAAGCACUCCGCCUGGGGAGUACGACCGCAAGGUUGAAACUCAAAGGAAUUGACGGGGACCCGCACAAGCGGUGGAGCAUGUGGUUUAAUUCGAAGCAACGCGAGGAACCUUACCAAAUCUUGACAUCCUUUGACAACUCUAGAGAUAGAGCCUUCCCCUUCGGGGGACAAAGUGACAGGUGGUGCAUGGUUGUCGUCAGCUCGUGUCGUGAGAUGUUGGGUUAAGUCCCGCAACGAGCGCAACCCUUAAGCUUAGUUGCCAUCAUUAAGUUGGGCACUCUAAGUUGACUGCCGGUGACAAACCGGAGGAAGGUGGGGAUGACGUCAAAUCAUCAUGCCCCUUAUGAUUUGGGCUACACACGUGCUACAAUGGACAAUACAAAGGGCAGCGAAACCGCGAGGUCAAGCAAAUCCCAUAAAGUUGUUCUCAGUUCGGAUUGUAGUCUGCAACUCGACUACAUGAAGCUGGAAUCGCUAGUAAUCGUAGAUCAGCAUGCUACGGUGAAUACGUUCCCGGGUCU